AGUUUCAAAGAGAAGUAUCUGUUGUGCUGACGCAUGAAGACAGCGGAGGAAGGAACUUAGAAAUUUAAUAACACAAAAAGAGAGAGAAACCCCUCACAGUCUUUGACCCGUUACCAUAUUAAUUGCUCACACUCCAAAAAUUUGCAUUGACUUCCAACUUUUUUUUUCUCUCCGGUGACCAAAGUUCAAAACCGUAAUUUCGUUGCUUCCCCCCGACAUGAAUCCGCAAUCACCGGUUCGGUCUGAACCGGAGCCUCCGGUUCCGACGUUUUCCCCUCGCUUCGCGCUCACCUCCGGUUCACAGCGCAAAAUCGCGAUCGCCGUUGAUCUGAGCGACGAGAGCGCGCACGCAGUCCGAUGGGCGGUCCAGAACUAUCUCCGACCAGGCGACGGCGUGAUCCUCCUGCACGUGCGUCCCACGAGCGUCCUCUACGGCGCGGAUUGGGGCUCCGUGGAUCUGAACCUAACGGAGGACGACGGCGUCAACGAGGAGUCACGGCAGAAGCUGGAGGAUGAUUUCGACAACUUCACGGCGACGAAAGCAAGCGACCUGGCGCAGCCACUGGUGGAGGGGCAAAUACCGUUCAAGAUCCACAUUGUGAAGGACCACGACAUGAAGGAGAGGCUAUGCUUGGAGGUGGAGAGGCUGGGACUCAGCGCUGUUAUCAUGGGAAGCCGAGGGUUUGGUGCUUCCAAGAGAGCUUCUAAGGGAAGGCUUGGCAGUGUCAGCGAUUACUGUGUUCACCAUUGUGUGUGUCCCGUUGUGGUCGUGCGUUACCCGGAAGAGAAUGAUAACGGUAACGGUAGCCAUUCCGGUGGUGGUGGUGGUGGUGUUCAGGUUGGGGAACAGGUGGAACUUCCCCCUGUGCCUGAGGAGGAGCACGAGGUCUAUCAUGAUGCUUCCGAUGAGCACAAAGGUUUUCCCCUCCAUUUAGGGCUUGUUUGGUUAAGGUUAAAAUUUGAAGGAUAAUCGAUUAUCUUUUGAAAUAUCUCUUACAAUAAAAAUAAGAUAAAUUUAUUCAGUUUUGAUGGAUUAUAAUGUUAUUUAAUUUUGCAUAGUGCUUAGUUGGGUCUAACUAAUGAAAAUGAUCCUGUAGGCGUAAAAUAGGUAGUAGAGAGGAUUGGGAAUUGGACAAAACUUACAUAUAUUAUCAUUAAGACCAUUAUUCUAUCAAAAUUAACAUUUCAUGUUGGUUGUAGUUGCUUUGUUUUCAUCUUGGAAACUAAAAUCGGAAGCAAUUCCUGAGAUGACAUGUCAACUUUGAUUGGAGAAUUAGUAAAUAUCCACAAAAAUGUUCAUGAUAAUAUAUCUAAGUUUUGUCCCCAAGGAGCUCUCUGUGAAGGUUCUCUAUUUGAUGAUUUUUCUGAGGUGAAUUAUAUUGGACUUUACUGUUCGGAACAUGAGUAACUGUAGGAUAAAAGGGCCUAGACCAAAGGAUUAAGCUGUGGCACAAAAGCAUUAUAGAGGAGAAAAAGGAUUGUGAGGUGAUCAGAAUUAGUAAAUAUCCACAAAAGUGGUCAUGAUAAUAUAUCUAAGUUUUGUCCCCAAGGAGCUCUCUGUGAAGGGUUUUCUAUUUGAUGAUUUUUCUGAGGUGAAUUAUAUUGGACUUUACUGUUCGGAACAUGAGUAACUGUAGGAUAAAAGGGCCUAGACCAAAGGAUUAAGCUGUGGCACAAAAGCAUUAUAGAGGAGAAAAAGGCUUUUGAGGUGAUCAGAAACAGGGACAAAGAGCCUUGCUGGUUAACACCAGUAGAAAUGGAAGAAAAGCUUUAUGCAACGUAGAAACCCUGUUUAAAACAAAUCCCGAACCAUAUUUAAAGUAGCUUCGAUAAUAAGAAAGUAAAAAGAACCAAUUAAAAUAUUUAGAAUUCUACUAUACCUUUGGUGCAAUAGCUUGGAUGAUACUUGGGCUUUAAGAGCAUUAACAAUAUUAAUCUAGAAUAGCCCAAGCCUUCUAACCAGAAAUCAUAAUUGAGCCCUCGUCGUGCAUUGGAAGUCUGAUGCUGAAUUCAAAAUCAUAGAUGUAUAAUGCACCAGAAGUGUAUAUGGAAAGGUCAAACAUUUAUCAUUGAUCUUUUGAAGGUAAGUUUUGCUUGUAGUUUACUCAAAUUUCAUGGUUUGAUUCGAUAUGCUUAAUUGUGGAAUUGUGAGGACCAACAAUGAUGAUAUUUUACUGUUAAUAUAUACAGCUCAGUCAACUCUGAAAUUUCAACAUUGCUACCAGACAUAAUUUAUUUUAUAGUCUACCCAAGGCUCAAUUCAACUCUUAUCACUUGCCAUGUUUUGCAUUUAAGCAUUUUUGUUUAAAACCAUAUCCAUAAUGUGCACGACACUGAUCUUAUUCUCUUCUAUAUAUGACUGCUACAACAUAAUUCUUGAAGUCAAAAAGUUAAAGAUACUAAACUGAGAAGAAGUUGAACACAUGCCCACGAUAUGCACCUUAUGGAAUUUACAGUUAUCCAUGAUAUGCUCCCCACCUACCCACAACGCUUUGCAAUAGGGAGAUAAACUCUCUAGGGUUCAGAUUUCACCGGUUCCCAGAAACACGUACUGAAGUCAACAUUAAGGCUAAGGUCAGAUUUGAGAGGUCUUGAAGGAAACAGUUACUAAACUGAUAUCUUUGCAUAAAGCAAAUAACAAACCAAAAGAUAGAUCCUCGAAGAUGUUCUUUUUCAUUUUACUGAAGUUUUCUUUGGUCAAGGAGACUAUCAAGUUCUUUUUUAGGUUCUAGAUUGACAUGCUAUCUGUUGAAACGAUGUUAUCUGUGGUUACGACGAAAAAGAAUAUAUAAUGCAAUACUUAUGUUGUUAGAGGCAGUCAAAUUAUGAAAAAACCGAAAUCUUGUAUAAUAUCAUAUAUUGGAGUAUGCAAGCUAUAAUACUGCACAUAAUUACAGUUUUGAUUAGAUUGUUCUUGUUUAACCUAUUUGUUUUUUCUGUGUGAACAGAUGCUUAAUGAAAGUACAGAGCAAGUCCAUUUCCCUACUAACUUAAGAAACUGCUCACAAGAACAAGGCAAGUGUCAAAUGAAGAAGAAUGUGCUAAAAUUGAAAAGUAUCUUAUUUGUAUAAACUAUACAUUGUAAAGCGGUUGUUUGGUUGAUUAGCAUUUGUAUGCAUUUGUACAAGUUUGUUUCCACGCUGCUUCAAUACUCAUUGACAGGGUUGAAUAUGAUAUGUUUCUACUUCGACGAUUGAUUUGGAGGGCUCUUGAUCCACUUCAUGUUUGCAAACCAAUUACAGAUUUAUAUUUAAGAAACAACGAAAGUUUUUAUUUAUUGUCUUGCGUUUGGCCUGUAAAUACCUGGUACUAUGGUACAAUUUAUGUUGAAGGAAAGUUGGAUGAUGAUUAAGUGU